GGGGCCGUAGUCUAGAUGUGGGAUAAGAAAAUCUUUCCACAGGCAAACAUGGUCCAAGAUGCCAGAGCAACGGCGAUCCUGGGGACCUGCAAGAGUGCUGGUGAUCGCGUGUUCGAAUCACGCCGGCCCCA
rnacentral:tRNA from 1 species